rnacentral:lncRNA from 10 species
GAGGAUACAACCCCCUUGCAGCUAAUGUCUGAGGGAAUAAGACGAGCAAUCUGCAAGAUUAAAACACUGAAGCACAGAACAUAAAGAUAAAUAUCUCAUGAUGAUGCAGCUCAUAAGGGGCAGAGCUGGGAAUCUGAAAGGGAAAGUCUGGCUGCAUAAACCCUCCAAAUGCUGUGCUGUCUCUUGAAGGAUCCUUGGGCCAUACCAAUGGCUCAGUUGAGGGCAAGAUCUAUCAAUGGCUGCAGUAGUGGGAAGAACAAGAUCAUCGGGGAGAAGGUCACAAAGGGGCCUAGACCUUCCCUGAAAGGAAAGAUUUCUGUGACCUUGCAGAAACAAGCCACCAUGAGUUCUACAGCUGCAGAAAAUGAAUUCUGUCACCACAACCUUAGCUUGGAAUGGGACCCCAAGCCUCCAACCAGACCAUAGCCCUGGCCGACACCUUGAACACAGCCUUGUGAAACUCUGAGCAGGGGACCCAACUAAGCCAAGACAAGAUUCCUGACCCACAGAAGCUGUGAGAUAAUAAAUGUAUAUUGUUUUAAGCUACUAAGUAUGUGGUGAUUGGUCAUGCAUCAAUAGAAAACUAACACAUUUACUUUUCACUUUUCUGAAUUUUCU